AUUCCCCGUCUGUGACCCGCUGCGCCCCGGGCCGCCGCCCUCUUCGUGCCUCCCGGCCCGGCCCCGCCGCCUGCAGAACGGAGCCCGAGCGGGGAUUUGGACCGGGCUCGGCGGCCUCCGGGCGGCUGGUCUACCCCGAGGUCGGGCCUGGGCGUGAGCGUCGCCCCCGGGGCCGCACUGUCGCGGCCGACGCCCGAGCCAAGAAACCGACAAGGCUGAGCUCUGCAGCCCGGGGAGGUGCCCGAACUGGGUUGUUGAUGGAGAAAUCAAUUAUUCUAUUGCUCUGGGUACAAUAUGUUGUUAAGAUCUCAAAAAGUUUCUGUUUUAUGAAUAAUCGAACAACAGUUGUUAUUGAAUGGGAUGAAUUUCCUAAGGGAAAAAGUCCUGAAUUUUAUUUUUUAAAAUACCAACUUGUUAAUAAUUUUGCUGAAAAAGUAAGGCAUCUUUUCUUUUUGCCUCUGAUAAAAAGUAAUCAGAAUGUGAAUUUAUUUUGACCAAAUAUCAUAUCAUAGUAGGAAUUUGGUAGUUAUUGGGAUUUCCUUUUUCCCUAAUUUUAUUGAGAUAAUAAUUGACAUAUGACAUUGUAUAAGUCUAAGAUAGACAACGUAAUGCUCUGAUAUAUGUGUAUUGCAAUAUUAUGACCACAGUACACGUAGUUAACAUCCAUUAUGUCUCAUAUAGCUACAAAUAGUUUUUUUUUUUUAUGAUAAGAUCUACUCUGGAGCAACUUUCAAGUACACAGCAGGAUUGUUAUUUAUUCUCAUCAUGUUGUACAUUAUAUCCCCAGAAGUUACUUAUCUAAUAAUUGUAAGAUUGUAUCUUUUGAUCUUCACCCAGUAUUUCCCCACCUCUGGGAACCACCAAUCUCUUCUCUUUGUAUGAUUUUAGUUUUUUUAAAAUUCCACAUAUAAGUGAGAUUGGUAUUUGUCUUAGUCUGAUCUAUUUCACUUGCGUAAUGCCCACGGGGUCCGUCCAUGGUGUCUUAAUGGCAGGAGUUCCGGCUUUUUUAUAGCUGAAUAGUACUCCUGCGUGUGUAUACCUCAUUUUCUUUAUCCAUUCAUCCAUCAAUGGACACUUUAGGAAUUGCUGGUAGUUUUAUUGUGAAUUUUUUUGAGGCCCUUCCAUACUGUUUUCCAUAGUAGCUGCACAAAUUUAUAUUCUCAGCAGUAGUCCACCAGGGGUUCCGUUUUCUCCUUAUCCCUACGUAGCAGUUGUUGUCUCUUCUUUAUGAUGAAAACCAUUCUGUUAGGUGCCAUUCUGACACUGUACUUUCAGU
rnacentral:lncRNA from 12 species